rnacentral:rRNA from 1 species
GAUGAACGCUAGCGGCAGGCCUAAUACAUGCAAGUCGUACGGCAACACAGUUGCGAGCAAUCGCAACCGGUGGCGAGUGGCGCACGGGUGAGUAACGCGUAUGUAACCUACCCUUCUCCGGGACAUAACUCCGCGAAAGCGGUGCUAAUAUCCCAUACCAACUCAUCAAGACAUCUUCUUGAGUUGAAAGCAGCAAUGCGGUGAAGGAUGGGCAUGCGUCCCAUUAGCUGGUUGGUGAGGUAAUGGCCCACCAAGGCUACGAUGGGUAGGGGUUCUGAGAGGAAAGCCCCCCCAACUGGUACUGAGACACGGACCAGACUCCUACGGGAGGCAGCAGUAAGGAAUAUUGGGGCAAUGGUCGAAAGACUGACCCAGCCCAUGCCGCGUGCAGGAUGAAGGCCUUGGGUUGUAAACUGCUUUUGUACGGAACGAAACGGCGAGCUCUAAUACAGUUUGCUAAUGACGGUACCGUAAGAAUAAGCACCGGCUAACUACGUG